GUUAAGAUCCCAACAGCUCUUUAGGCCCUGACCAUUCUCUUAAGGAAUUCUCCCCAAGAUUCCAACUGGCUCCUAAAGAUGAGUAAAUUGGGGCGUAGCGGGAUGAAAGCAUUUUUUCAAGGUCUUCCUACAUAGGCAUAGGCAGCAAGUGACUCAAAUGGAGAUUUGACCACACAGCUGGGAAGUGUUUCCUGGAAUGGGACUUCUCCGAAUCUCUAAGGACGGGUCAACGGGGUCCAAACCUAAGGACAAUCUCAGCCUGGAGCCCUAGAAAGGCAGGACAGAAACGGGGUUACCCCGAUCUGAUUUGGAAGGGGCAUUCCUGCCAAGCUCUUUCAUUCCACUCCUGCCUUCGGGGUCAGGGUCGUGAAGCCCUUCGUUACUCCAAACGGGAAGGGGGACUCGGGUGUGGGGGUACCCCGAAGACACACCCCAGGUGAUUCCCACGGGACAGGGCCUGUCCGCAGGCCUAGGCCUCGGUCCGCCCAACCCUUCUGUAGCGGCCGAAGUCCGAGGCCGAUUGCGGACGCGCCCACGCAAGCUCGUGACCCGCUGCCCCCCGCACCUUGAGGUGGGUCCGCAGGCCUCCGGCACCCCCCGACUGGUCGGUGAUCUCGUACUCGCCCGUCACCAACAGGUCCUUGUGGAUCUCCUCUCGAAGGCACUUGCGGGAGUUGACGGGCAGGUGGAAGGAGAUGGUGAGGACCGAGCUGGGACCGAGCAGGAGCAGGAGAAGCAACGUCAGCGGGCCGGGGCCGCGGGGAACACGAGGAUCGAACAACCGGGACAUGGUGCUGGCGACUGCUUCAGCUCCUGGGGCUUCCACCGCGCCGGAACCGGGGGGCCACGUGACCUGCUGCCGCCACUGCGACGCUGCCGGCGCCAUCUUUGAGAUUGGCAAAGUGAUGGGCCGGAGGAACCUAGGGGAAAAAAUCUAGAAGGAAUAAAUGACCAAUAACAGUGUGAAGCAGUACGUAAAAGGUCCUGAAAUGGUAUAACUAUCGUCGGUAAAAUUCCUGUAUUUUUGGUUGUUCUAUAACUUCCUUAUCCACCAUCACUAGUAAGGGCAACCCUGGAAGUAAUUUUUCUUUAAUUUCCGGAAACUCUUCCCAAGAGACCGGGGCCACAGACACCAUGACAACCAAGCCCCAAUGGGGAAAGGCCACAAAGCCGUUUAGAGAGCCCGCCCCGCGCACGGGUGCUGACUAUGUGGCGGCGAGCUGUUAUCGCUGCUGUUCUCAGCUUGGGCCUCCGUCUUCCGGGCACGCUAGCAACCGACCGGGUGGAAGCCUUAGAUUCCGCCCAGGAGCGCUGGGUGACAGCUACAGGCCUUGGGCGGGGAGUUGGGGAGGAAAGGGGGAGGGGCCAUUGAUCUCUUAAAAGCCCAGGGGAGGGAGCGGAGGCCAGAAAGAUUCUUCUUAGAACUUCUGGGCCUGCGUUUGAGGCCGGCGUCCCCAGUCUCCGAGGAAAGGAAUGGUUCCCAGGGGCCGGGUUUAGUUGGGCUGUUGGACCCCAGUCCGCCUGAUUGGCCUACUGAUUAGAAGUAAACUGUAAUUUCCUCUCCACCCAGAGCGUGGAGGGAGGGAGUGUGUGUGUUUUGUUCAUAUGUUCUAAGUACAAGGUUUGUGCAUUAAGUGAAAGCCCCAGAUACAGCUGUCCAUCUAUAAGUUGCACGUGUAGGUGAAAGUCCCAUCUAUAAAAUGUGUGAGUGUAGGUGAGAGACCUACAUAUUCAGUAGUGGUAUUACUAUUGAAAUGUUAUAGAUCCUUCUUAGGUUUUCAGGCUAUUUCAAAUAGUAUUAUUGCUCCUAUAAUAAAAGCUGAUGUGUUUAAGGCUUGCAAAACGCUUUAUGUUAUCUCACUUGAUUUUCACAAAACUCGAGGGUUACAUUAUUUUUAUUUUACAUAAUCGAAGAAGCUGAGGCUCAGAGUGGGGUAACUUGAUAGCCAUAAUACCUAAGAAGGGUUUGAACCAGAGUUGGAACUGAUGUCUUCUUGAUUUCAAGUUCUGCACUUUCUUCUGUGCCUUAUUGUUUCUUGAGUUCUAAUAAUUUUUUGGAGAUAUUCUUGUAGAGUUAAGGGACUGGGUUCAUACUCUUGGGCAUUAUUAUAUAUAUGUGUAUAUUUUUACACACAUAUAUAUAUACAUAUAUAUAAUAUACAUAUUUUAAAAUCUUUACUCUUUCCUUGGUUUUAAAUUGGCAAAUAAUGAUGAACAUGAGUAUUUCCAUAUACAAAGAACAGAAAAAGAGGAUUGCAUAUGAAAAUCAGCAUCUCCUUUAUAUCCAUCUUUCAAAAAAUUACUGUAAUAAAUUCUAUAUUAGUUUCAAAGCUGUCCUACUUGUCUGUAUCUCCCUCUGAAAUUCCCUCUCUUCUUUGAUGCUUAAAACAAAAUACUGUUACUCUUUUAUUCCUUUUCUUUGGUGGCCAUGGGGUGGAAGGCACUUAACUUAAUUUUACUAUCAAUACUAUUCCCUCUCACAUCUUGCUUCCUUCAAUAAAAACAAACAUUCUUAUAACAUAAACUUGGUAAACUUAAAUUCAUAUAUUGGCCAUGUCUGAAAAUGUAUACCUCAAUCUGCACCUUGAGUCCCUUAUCUCUUUGUUAGGAAGUAGAAAUUAUGAUACUUUUGUAUCAUUGGAUCUCUGGAGUUAUGGUUAGUCAUAAAAUUGAGAAGAGUUCUUACAUCUAUCAAAUACCUUUUUCUUUACAAUGUUAUUAUAUAAAUUGUUCUUUUUGUUCUAAUUAUUCUUUUAUCAGUCAAUUUUAAGAAUAGGUUUUCCUGAAUCCUUCCUUUUGUCUGGUACAAUAAAAUCCCAUUAUAUUCCAUAAUUUGUUCAGCUAUUCCCCAGUUAAUAAGCAUUUACUUUUCCUCCAGCUCUGUUAAAAUGAGAAGGGCUGCCAUAAACAAUUUUGUGUGAUAAGUCCUUUCCCUUUUUCUUUGAUCUCUUUGAUAUAUAAAACCAGUAGUGAUGCCUUGGGACACAAGUUAAAUACUUCAAAAAUACUUUAUGGUAUCUCUGAGUCAAAUAGUGUAUAAUACAGUGACUUUGGGGGAUAUAAUUCCAAAUUGCUUUCCAGGAUGACUGGACCAAUUAUAGUUCCACUAACAAUGCUAUGGUGUGUUUUUGUCUUCCUAUAACCCUUACAACUAUUAUCAUUUUACUUCUCUUUUGUUUAGAUCUUAUGGGUGUAAGGUAGAAACUCAUUCAUUUUAAUUUGCAGUUCUCUUAUUAGUGACUUGGAGCAUUUUUUCAUGCAAUUGAUGAUAGUUUGAAUUUCUUCUUUUUAGAAAUGCCUGUUUGACCAUUUAUCUAUUGAGGAAUAGCUUUUCUAAUAAAGUUGAAUCAGUUCCUCAUAUACCUUAAAAUCAGACUUUUAGCAAAGAAACUUGUUGCAAAGAUCCCCCCCCCCACCAGUUAACUGUUUCCCUUCUAAUAUAAACUACAUUGAUUUUGCUUGAAUAAAAACUUUUCAAAUUUAUAUAAUUAAAUUAUCCCCAUUAUUUUCUGUGAUAUUCUCUAUCACUUCUUGUGCCAUGAACCCAUCUCCUGCCCAUAGUUAUGAAGGGCAUCUUCUUUCCUCCAAUAAUUUAUGAUGUAAAUUUUAUUUAUUUAUCCAUUUUGGAGCAUGUUUUGGUGUAUGGUGUGAGCUGUUGAUACUAAUCUAAUUUUUGCCACCUUGUUUUCCAUUUUUCCCAGUCAGACAGGACUGCACAGGGAAGUUGCAUGUCAGCCAACUGCUGUGAAGCCAUGAAUUCCUUUCUGCCACCAGUACUCUUGUUUUAAUGGUAUAUCCUUGCUUACAAAGACCUUGUAUUAGACCUUGGCAUUAGAAAGCAAGUCUUGUGCUUCAGUAUUACAAAAAAGAAUAUAGCACAUCUCACUUUACAUUGCCAUGUAUUAUAGUAAUUCUGAGGCUACUUGAGGUUAAGCUCCCAGAUAAGAGAUCUUUUACCUCUUUGUAAAAGAAGUGCUGUAUAUGUGGGAAGAGGAGGAAUCUUCCUGGUAAUUUGGGGUUUUGGAGUAAUGGGGAGAUAAGGAAGUUGUUAUUUAUGCUUAGAGAGUUUCUGUUUCCACUUCCAAAAGAAGUUUGUGAAUUUUAUAAUUUUAAAAUUCUCAUUCAGUUAUUAAUUUCCAUUUCCCAGGUAGAAAAAUUGAGGCCUAAAACAGUUAACUUGUCUAGUCAUCGCCAGAGGCAAUAAUUAAAACUAGGUCCUCUGACUUCAAUACAAACUAGGAUUAUAGUCAGUGUGUUUUGUUUACCUAUGUGUAUAUACAUAUAUAUGUUUUUGUAAACUUUAUUUGGUUUUUAGUAUUUAAUUGCCACAUUACUCAUUGUUAUGUGUCUAGCACAACACCUGGCACAUAGUAGGCACUUAAUAAAUACUUUUUGAUUGAUUUUUGGAA